rnacentral:rRNA from 1 species
UGAGUAGCGAAAGACGGGUGAGAAUCCCGUCCACCGAUUGACUAAGGUUUCCAGAGGAAGGCUCGUCCGCUCUGGGUUAGUCGGGUCCUAAGCUGAGGCCGACAGGCGUAGGCGAUGGAUAACAGGUUGAUAUUCCUGUACCACCUAUAAUCGUUUUAAUCGAUGGGGGGACGCAGUAGGAUAGGCGAAGCGUGCGAUUGGAUUGCACGUCUAAGCAGUAAGGCUGAGUAUUAGGCAAAUCCGGUACUCGUUAAGGCUGAGCUGUGAUGGGGAGAAGACAUUGUGUCUUCGAGUCGUUGAUUUCACACUGCCGAGAAAAGCCUCUAGAUAGAAAAUAGGUGCCCGUACCGCAAACCGACACAGGUAGUCAAGAUGAGAAUUCUAAGGUGAGCGAGCGAACUCUCGUUAAGGAACUCGGCAAAAUGACCCCGUAACUUCGGGAGAAGGGGUGCUCUUUAGGGUUAACGCCCAGAAGAGCCGCAGUGAAUAGGCCCAAGCGACUGUUUAUCAAAAACACAGGUCUCUGCUAAACCGUAAGGUGAUGUAUAGGGGCUGACGCCUGCCCGGUGCUGGAAGGUUAAGAGGAGUGGUUAGCUUCUGCGAAGCUACGAAUCGAAGCCCCAGUAAACGGCGGCCGUAACUAUAACGGUCCUAAGGUAGCGAAAUUCCUUGUCGGGUAAGUUCCGACCCGCACGAAAGGCGUAACGAUUUGGGCACUGUCUCAACGAGAGACUCGGUGAAAUCAUAGUACCUGUGAAGAUGCAGGUUACCCGCGACAGGACGGAAAGACCCCGUGGAGCUUUACUGUAGCCUGAUAUUGAAAUUCGGCACAGCUUGUACAGGAUAGGUAGGAGCCUUUGAAACGUGAGCGCUAGCUUACGUGGAGGCGCUGGUGGGAUACUACCCUAGCUGUGUUGGCUUUCUAACCCGCACCACUUAUCGUGGUGGGAGACAGUGUCAGGCGGGCAGUUUGACUGGGGCGGUCGCCUCCUAAAAGGUAACGGAGGCGCUCAAAGGUUCCCUCAGAAUGGUUGGAAAUCAUUCAUAGAGUGUAAAGGCAUAAGGGAGCUUGACUGCGAGACCUACAAGUCGAGCAGGGUCGAAAGACGGACUUAGUGAUCCGGUGGUUCCGCAUGGAAGGGCCAUCGCUCAACGGAUAAAAGCUACCCCGGGGAUAACAGGCUUAUCUCCCCCAAGAGUUCACAUCGACGGGGAGGUUUGGCACCUCGAUGUCGGCUCAUCGCAUCCUGGGGCUGUAGUCGGUCCCAAGGGUUGGGCUGUUCGCCCAUUAAAGCGGUACGCGAGCUGGGUUCAGAACGUCGUGAGACAGUUCGGUCCCUAUCCGUCGUGGGCGUAGGAAAUUUGAGAGGAGCUGUCCUUAGUACGAGAGGACCGGGAUGGACAUACCUCUGGUGUACCAGUUGUCGUGCCAACGGCAUAGCUGGGUAGCUAUGUGUGGACGGGAUAAGUGCUGAAAGCAUCUAAGCAUGAAGCCCCCCUCAAGAUGAGAUUUCCCAACUUCGGUUAUAAGAUCCCUCAAAGAUGAUGAGGUUAAUAGGUUCGAGGUGGAAGCAUGGUGACAUGUGGAGCUGACGAAUACUAAUCGAUCGA